rnacentral:tRNA from 1 species
AUUUAAGUAGUUUAAAAAAAAUAUUAAUUUGUGGAAUUAAUGAUAUAUAUAUUUAUAAAGUAUCUUAAAUU